rnacentral:rRNA from 1 species
UACGUAGGGUGCGAGCGUUGUCCGGAAUUAUUGGGCGUAAAGAGCUCGUAGGUGGCGGGUCACGUCGGGUGUGAAAGCCCGGGGCUUAACUCCGGGUCUGCAUUCGAUACGGGUCUGCUGGGGUCCGGCAGGGGAGACUGGAAUUCCUGGUGUAGCGGUGAAAUGCGCAGAUAUCAGGAGGAACGCCGGUGGCGAAGGCGGGUCUCUGGGCCGGUACCGACGCUGAGGAGCGAAAGCGUGGGGAGCGAACAGG